AUUGAACGCUGGCGGCAGGCCUAACACAUGCGAGUCGAGCGGAUGAAGGGAGCUUGCUCCUGGAUUCAGCGGCGGACGGGUGAGUAAUGCCUAGGAAUCUGCCUGGUAGUGGGGGAUAACGUCCGGAAACGGGCGCUAAUACCGCAUACGUCCUGAGGGAGAAAGUGGGGGAUCUUCGGACCUCACGCUAUCAGAUGAGCCUAGGUCGGAUUAGCUAGUUGGUGGGGUAAAGGCCUACCAAGGCGACGAUCCGUAACUGGUCUGAGAGGAUGAUCAGUCACACUGGAACUGAGACACGGUCCAGACUCCUACGGGAGGCAGCAGUGGGGAAUAUUGGACAAUGGGCGAAAGCCUGAUCCAGCCAUGCCGCGUGUGUGAAGAAGGUCUUCGGAUUGUAAAGCGCUUUAAGUUGGGAGGAAGGGCAGUAAGUUAAUACCUUGCUGUUUUGACGGUACCAACAGAAUAAGCACCGGCUAACUUCGUG
rnacentral:rRNA from 1 species